rnacentral:tRNA from 1 species
GGGGAUUUAGCUCAGUGGUAGAGCGCUUGCUGGGCAAGACCCUGGGUUCAGUCCCCA